CGGGUGCUGAAACUGGCGCGCUCGCGCUGCCAAAGAUAAGUUGGGUCAAGCGACGAACGCACGUUUGGUUUGCUGGGUGGUUGAGGAAGGAAGGAAGGAAGGAGAUUUUUUUGCUUUUCUUUUAUUUUGAGGAAGGAAGGAAGCAGGAGUACGGGGCGGGGCGCGACGGAACGUAAACGUAUAUAUCGUCGAGCCGACGGAGCGAAACGGAGGGACGAUAUGAAGAGAGAUGGUCGAAUGAGAAGCGAGGUCUAGUUAGUAACCGACCGAGGUAAUUGAUCAGUGUGAUCAACGACUCCCUACCUACUACACACCACGUCGGAGCUGUACCGGCGGCUGUAGCGGCCGGAGGUGUCGCGGGAGCGGCUGGGUAAGACCGGGCGGCUGGAACUGGAGUACCAAAGCUGGGUGCUCCACCUCCCAUACCGCCUGUACCUGCGCUCGCCGAAGAAGCAUCCUCCUCCCCUACUGGCGAAGUACGACGGCAGCAGCUGCUGCAGCAGUGAGAGCAGGUUCGCUAGUGAGAGGGAGCUGUCGCCGCCGAGGAGUCCGAGUCCGAGUCCCAGAAAGAGCGAGCUGGAGCGCCUGCGGAGCGCCAUGGUCCGCGGCCGCGACGGGCACGGCGUGUUGGGGAACCGCCCGCGGCAGCUGGUGCUGCUGCUCCGCUAGUACGCCCGAUACUACCGCCAGUACAGAAGCAGGAGACGGAGGGGCAGGAGGAGCCGUAGGAGGGUAGGCGUCGGGAAGACGGCCCUGGCCCUGUCGUUGUACGUUGUUGUCAGUCGUCGGUACCGCGGCGUCGACGCAUCUCCUGCUUCACCGGUGCACUACCACUUCUCGUCGGAGAGGUACAGCGGCCUCUCUUCGUCGUCGCCGCCGGCCCCUGUCGUCGUCCUCCUCGGCUGCUCCCGGCGCUCGCCGUUGUGGCCGGUCGAGAUGGUGUACUACAGUCUCUCCUUCGCUGCCCUCUUCGAGUUGCUGUCGAAGGUGUGCGACUCCAGCGAGGAAGGGGGGACGAGUUUCUUCCUGUUCUGUUGCCACGAUUGGUUCCGCCGUCCCAUGGAUUUCUGCGACCUCCGCGUCCAGAGACUCGACCUCCUCUUCUUGUUGUUCAACCUCUUCGUGUAAGGCUGGAUGCUAACGCUCCUCCUGCACGGCGUGGUCGUCUCCGCCGUCUCCCGGUUCCAGGUUUAUUGGUUCCGCCGUAGUCUGCCCCACCACUUGGACUGCCACUACCACUACCACCUCACACUGCACCACCUCGACCACGAGGCGUAGGACCUCACGGAGGCCACCUACCUCGUCCAGUUGCAGUACAGGCAGCUGCGGCUGUGGAUGAGGGGCGUCCACAACGAGUUCCGGUAUCGGUCGUAGUUCGAGGCCUAGCACCUGCUGCUGACCUUGGUCCGGAACAAGGUGCUCCGGUACUGGUUCCGACAAUUGCUGCGCUGGCGCAGAGCAGGAAGCGAGCACGAGUGGCGCAUCAUACGUCCUUCUCCUUCCUAUACACAGUACUAGGGCUCCUCGUUAAGCAUCGGUAUGCCAGUAUAUCGGUAGGUUUCCAAUCCAAUCUACCAACCUACAUUGCAUCUUCGUCAUUAAACAAACGUUAUCAGCCUACCCGCGGGGACUACUCAGUGAGACGUGGUUGUUCUAGUUCUGCUCUUCCUUCAGAAGGCACCCUCGUCGAUCUUUACAAACAUAGUCUAGGAACCUUCUAGCCUUGGUUUGAUGACAACUCCCUGAUAUCGAUAUAUUCCCGUCAUGGUUGGAGGCGGUUCCCCAUCUUCUAUACAGCCUCGAGUAAGGGUAUGGAAUAUAACCAUCUAUCCUUUUACUGUAACAUUUAGAGUUACGAGUAGUUAUUCCUAUCCAUCCGUAUUACGUCUGUUUAAUGGGCAAACCACCGCACUAGG
rnacentral:rRNA from 1 species